UGAUAAAUUGAGUCUUAAUUUUUUCACUCAUGGAUGCCUUUUAUUUUAGGUUUAUUUCAGAAAAUCCAAAGGUGGUUACUAUUUUCAAUUUGAGUAUUUUGCAUGCAGAAAUUCAGCACAGACUUGUUUCCAAGCAGCCUGAACAGGGUACCCAUAAGAAAUCAAAAGAAAGCUGACUUUUUAAAAGGGAUGACCCUAGCCACUAGGGCACAGCAUUCAGGAAAAAAACAAAUACGCACCCUGACUGCUCCGCAAGUCACAAGCCAGCAUGGAUCCUGGAGCAUGAAGCCAGUGAAACAGACGCAGCAGCUGGGCUGGAUGAGGACUUUCUGAUUGGCCUGACUACUUGAGAAAGGUUACAGGGAGUGGGAAAAACCUGACCUUUCUCGAAAUGUGGAAUGUCUCCGGAGGAUUCCCUACACAAAACAAAGAACGGUUCACCCAUCACUUGUGUGUUUCUAUUCUAUACUCAGAGCAAAGCAGUGAUCUCUUGGUUAUUCUGUUAAAGGUUUCUUCUACUGUGGCAAAAAGCCUGAACUGAUGGCCUUCCGGAUGUGUAUUUAAAACCAUGUUUCUGAAUGGGCAAAUUAACAUAACUGCUGUUUUUAGCUCAGGCAUAGCCUGAGUUAAACAGCUAAGAAAUCUCCACCAUAAUAUUCAUGUAUACAGGGUCACUUUGGUCUUUCGCUCUUCUUACCCUAUAAACUUUUUUUUUUUGUUAAUGAAGUCUCGCUCUGUCGCCCAGGCUGGAGUGCAAUGGCUCGAUCUCGGCUCUCUGCAACCUCUACCUUCCAAGUUCAAGCGACUCUCCUGCCUCAGCCUCCCGAGGAGAUGGGAUUACAGGCAUCUGCCACCACGACCAGCUAAUUUUUGUAUUUUUUCGUAGAGAUGAGGGUUCACUAUGUUGGUCAGGCUGGUCUUGAACUCCUGACCUCCUGAUCCACCCUCCUCAGCCUCCCAAAGUGCUGGGAUUAUAGGCGUGAGCCACUGCGCCUGGCUCUACCCUGUAAACUGGAAACGUCUCCAUGGUAAAUGUGAUAAAUGGCAUAAAGGAAAGCAAAGCUCUUGAGGAGAGUAACAUGAGAUUUACAAAUUACUCUAAAUUACUACUAAUAAUUGUAGUUUGUAUUUGUGGAUUUUAAAAAAUAUUUCAUAGUACUAUCAAAACCAUACAUUCAUCAACAAACACUUACUGAAAACCAACUAUGUGCCAGGACCUCUGGGUGAGAGGGAGAUAAUAAUGUUCAAGACAAAUAAGCUUGCUACUCUCCUGUAUCUCAUAUUCUAGAAUGGUAUG
rnacentral:lncRNA from 1 species